AACAAAGACAAGAGCGACGCGGCCCAUAAUGAGGUUUUAGUGUCUCCUUGCCCUGGAGAAGACCCAGAGUGGAGAGUGUGGCAUGGAGGCCUUUAGCUCUGCCAGUGUAAUACCCCUCCCAAGACAGUGGAGCAGGGGUGAGAAGAGACGAGCUUCUGGAAAAGAGGGACUCAUUUCCUGAGUGGAUGCAAGGAGCAAAGCUGUACAGAUUCAACAACAUUGAGAAACACUUUGAAAUUAACACGCAUUCGUUCCAUCAGCAGUGCUGCUUCUUUUGAUCCUACUGGUUUGAUUCGGUUUCUGAGGCACUGUGUGUAUUUGGAAUAGAAGUGAUAGCCAGACUGAUUUGACAGAAGUGGGUAAAACCCUCCAGCAAAAAAGGGGGCUGCCUGCGGGCACAGAAGCUGUUGGAUAAAGAGGACAUCAAAAUAAAGCUUGAACUUGCUGAGCUUAAGGAAUCAGAAAUAAAACUGACAGUAAUGAGACCUAAGGAGAAGAAAAACACACCUGAAAAACAUAGAUGGGAAUGUGCAUGUGCUGGGGGACAUGAUCAGGUCCCCUCCAUCUUCCUGUCCUCUGAGAGCACUGCCUCGUCAAAAAUUAAAUGGAUCAAAUGUGCUCGGAAGUUUUUUAGUGUACCAAGCAGUGCUUCGGCUCAUUUUGUGUGCAAUUUGUGUGCAGCACAGUGUCUUCCUAUUCCUCGGUGCAAUGUCAUGCCCCCAUGCUGGCUCUCAAGGAAGUAGUCUGACAGGGUCUACCUCAUGUAGCAAAUGAAGCAGUAUGUUACCUAGGAAAAGAUUCAUUUGGACUGCUUAUUUUUGCUGGGUCACAGUCCAGAGUAGCCAACAAGACAUUCGCCAAGGACGGGACACAAUGUGCUCUGCCUGUUAUGUUAAUGCUUUCAUGUUCCCAUACUGAAAAUAUUUUGCUUUCAUUACACUGAAGUAGUUCUACCUUGCCAUUGCCCUUGUAGAGAAAUAAAGCAUUUUCCACUGAUAGUAAGGA